ACGGGAGGCAGCAGUGGGGAAUAUUGCACAAUGGGGGAAACCCUGAUGCAGCGACGCCGCGUGAGUGAAGAAGUAUUUCGGUAUGUAAAGCUCUAUCAGCAGGGAAGAAAAUGACGGUACCUGACUAAGAAGCCCCGGCUAACUACGUGCCAGCAGCCGCGGUACUACGUAGGGGGCAAGCGUUAUCCGGAUUUACUGGGUGUAAAGGGAGCGUAGACGGUAAUGCAAGUCAGAAGUGAAAGCCCAGGGCUCAACCGUGGGACUGCUUUUGAAACUGCAAUACUGGAGUGCAGGAGAGGUAAGUGGAAUUCCUAGUGUAGCGGUGAAAUGCGUAGAUAUUAGGAGGAACACCAGUGGCGAAGGCGGCUUACUGGACUGUAACUGACGUUGAGGCUCGAAAGCGUGGGGAGCAAACAGGAUUAGAUACCCUGGUA
rnacentral:rRNA from 1 species